AUCCAUCUGACGAGUCCUAAAUAGGACGAAACGUGUAU
rnacentral:hammerhead_ribozyme from 1 species